AGGGGGAAACAGGGCAGCAUCCAGGUAGGCACAGUGCAGGAGGAACUGAGAGUUCUACAUCUUCAUUUGAAGGCUGCUUGUUGAAUACUCUUUUCCAGGCAGCUAAGAUGAGGAUCUUAAAGCCCAUGCCCACAGGUGACACACUUUUUCUAACAAGGCCACAGCCACUCCAACAAGGCCACACCUCCAUAUAGUUUCACUCCCUGGGCUGAACAUACUCAAACUACUGCAGUAGUGUUACUUUACUUUCUAUUUUAUGAAACACUGAGGAUCUUUGGCAUUGGCACUUUUAGUUGAUCUGAAUGGUUCUGGCUUUCUCUUCUGUCUUGUUGCUUGUUAUGGAUCUAUUUAAAUUGAUUGUAUUCCCUUGACUUAAUUCUGAUUGAUCGUGUGUGUGUGUGUGUCUGUGUGUGUGUAUGAAAAAAUUUUACUCAUUUUUUCUAGAUUUUUCGAGUUUUCUUCCUUGAUGAUACUGGAUAUCAUUGGAAUUAACAGUAAAUUUAUCCUUUUCAUCUCUAAUGUGUAUUAACUUGAGUCUUCUGUUUUGACUAGUUUGCUUAGACCGUUACAAUUUUUUAUUUAAUUUUUUCAAAGAAGUAAGUCUCUAAUUGGUUGAUUUUCAAUAUUGUCCUUUUAGUCCCUGUUUCAGUAAUUUCUUCCCUGACCUCAAUUAUUUCUUGUUAUUAGCUGCUUUGUGAUUUUCUUUGUUCUUGUUUUUUUAAGAUAUCAUUAGACUAUUUCAGACUUUUGAUUUUUUUAUGUAAGUUUUUAUAGUUAGAAUUGCCUUAGUUGUAUUUGAAGUAGUAUCGUAUGUUGUGCUUUAAUUUUCAUUUGAUUCUUGGAAUUUUAAAAGUUUCUCCUUUAUUUCAACUACCCAGUAGUCAGUCAUGAGUGUAUUUUUCAGUCUCCAAGUACUUGUGUAAUUUCUCUUGCUAUUGAUUUCUCUUAUAGUCUACUAUGAUUUAAUGAGAUAGAAAAAAUCAUUUCAGUUCUGUAUUUCUUAAGACGUAGUUGUGGUCAGAAUCAAGUCUCUUUUAGAAAGCAGCAGCCUAUGGGCUGCUGGGAAGGAUGUGCAUUCAGUUUCUGAUGGAUAAAAUAUUCUCCAGAUUAUCUGUAAAGUCCAUUUGCUCUUUGGUGUAGUUUAACUUUGCAGUUUCUUUGUUGAUUUUUAGUCUGAAUGGAUAUCUAAAGUUGACAUUGGAAUGUCAAAAUGAUCACUGUUACUAUAUCAACACCUGUGUGACUCUAUAUGAACAUUAAUGUUUGUUUUUAUGAAAUUCACAGGUCUAACAUUCAGUGCAUAUGUUUUUUGAUUGUUACAUAUUCUUUUUUUAAGAUUCAUUUUAUUUUAUGUAUAUGAGUACACUAUAGCUGUCUUCAGACACAUCAAAAGAGGGCAUCAGAUUCUAAUACAGAUGGUUGCAAACCACCAUGCGGUUGCUGGGACUUGAACUCAGGACCUCCAGAAGAGCAGUCAGUGCUCUUAACCGCUGAGCCAAUUCUCCAGCCUAACUAUUACAUAUUUUUAAAGCAUUCAUAUAUAGCUAUAUUAUUAAACUGUUAUCAAAAAGUUGGAUUCUACUUUGUUAGCUACUGGAAGAGCUAUGGCAGCUUGAUUUUGGCUGAUACUCACUUGGUAGAUUGACCUCUAUCUCUUGAGGCUCACUCUGUGGUAUCUCUAGCAGUGAUAGAUGUUUCUUGGAAACAACAAAAUAAUUGUAUCUAAUCCAGUCAGCCACAUUGCCUUUCCUUAUUGGUAAGUUGAGGUCCCUACUUCUAAGGCUACAUCUCCCUCAUUUAGUCAUACAGACUGACAGAAUGGGAUUCCUGUCUAUUUUUCACCCACCUGCUAUUGGUGUCAUUUUUUUUCCACUGAAAUCUGUAAGUAGAUUUGAUGGUAAUGAGUGUUAUCACUGGAGUAAAACUUAUUCCCCUUCCCUUUUUCUAUCCCUCUUCCCCUCCCCCCUCCCCGUGUGUGUGUGUGUGUGUGUGUGUGUGUGUGUGUGUGUGUGUGUGUUAGUGUUAGUUAAACUGUGAAUGGAGUUUACUUUUUCCUUGGGCUCAUCACCUACCAUUUUACCUGGAAGUUCCCUGGAUUCUUCUUUGUUUAUCCGUGAGUGGAAUGGUAAAUGGUAGUAAUUUAGCAGUACAAUAGUCAUGUAUGCUAGACUUUGAAGUUUUGCUUACUCCCAUUUUUAUUUAUUUAUAACUAAUUAUAGUUUACAUAAUUAUGUUUUGUUUUUAACAGCCUUAUUUGUCCUGCAGAGAGAUUGGAUGUUCAGGGAGAUAUAAAUGGGGAAGUUUUCGGAUACAGUUCUUGUUGUAGGCAGUUUGAGUAAGGCUGGUUAGUAUAAGAAAAGCUCAUAGUAAUUUUGAAAGUAGUCAGUACAGCUGAAUAGUCUGUUUACUGAUAGUGCCUUUAAUUGGUUUGCGCCAUUAUUUUAUUAUCCUCAAAGUUUAUAUAUAAGAUAAUCUAAAAUUACUUAUUAUUAAUCAUUGUUUUAAUUACAUAUUCAUGAAUUAGUGUUGUUUGUUUCACAUGAAGAAUUACUGACUUAUCCUAAAGCCCUUAUUUAUCUUUCUGAGGAUUCCUCUUAGUUUCAUGGAAUUUUUUAAGUCAUUGGAAGCCCUUUCUGAUAUUUUAUUUGCUAAUUUGUUUGUCUGUCUGUUUGCUUGCUUGCACGUCAACAUAGGAUUUCUUUGUGUAUAGGCCUGGCUGUCUUGGAGCUUACUCCGUAGGCCAGGCUGCCUUCAAAUUCACAGAGGUCCAUCCACCUGCUUCUACCUCCCAAGUGCUGGGAUUAAAGGCGUGCACCACUACUCACUUAUGAUUUUAGAUAUGGGAUAUAUUUGAUGAUUAUUUUUUAAAAAAUAUUUUUUUUAUUCUUAAGCAACAAAGCUGUUAAGGAAAAUGACAAAGAAAAAG
rnacentral:lncRNA from 1 species